AUAAGUAUAGUGUGACUUAUAACUGCAGCAGCUGCUGUAGUGACUAGUGGUCGCGUCGCAUUGACGUUUAGCCCACCGCAGGAUAGGGUUGCUUGAACGUGGUGGUGUAUGUCGGUUAGUAUAACCGCUACCUGGGUCUAAAAAUCGUGUAGGUAUACUGCAGUGGUAUAUAUAAUAUAUUAUAGAGAAAACGAGAGAAAGAGAUGGCCGCAACGCAGUGACGGGGAAGUAGAGCUGCGCUGGUGCAUUACCUUGUAAGGUUUCGUUCUGUGUGGAUGGUUACCAAAAGGAAGUACCCAAGGAUUUCCACGGAUGACUGGCCGGCGCGCUGUUCGCCGUGUCCGAGGAAGGCGAACGAAUAAACUUUUCCUAAUUUGGUAUAUUCGUAAAAGGUUGAUGGUUUUAAUACGUUCUACAAUCGUUUACGACCAGACACUGUGGGCGAUCCGAGAAAACGUUUAUAUUCCGCGAUGGAAUAAUACGCAUUUGACCGUGGAACCGAAAUCUCGACGUACGUGAUAGGUCGGUUUACUGCUGUAUAAAUACAAUACUGUUGUCACAAUACGUAUUUUUUUGCGAUAAAACUCUUUCAAAACUCCAUUCGCAAACAAAUAUUCGGGAUAACGCCGUUUCACUGUAUAAUAAAUCAUAUAGCUGAUAAGUCUGAUGUUGUGUUUUCAGAGAGGGUUUAUAUCGAAGAUUAAAAUUCCGUGAUGUUGAACCGCCCACCACCGGUUGUCGCAGCUGUUGCCAGGAGGUGUCUUUUCCUGCAGGACGAUCGUCAACCAUUCGCAGCCUGCAACGAUGAUAACGCGGCUCUGGAAGUGGCUAUGACAAUUGAACGGGAGUUGCUGGCACAAAAACGAGAUCAAUGGAAUUUCGAUUUCCUCAACGGUACACCGGUGACGGAGGAAGAGCUUUGUAAUAAUAAUUGGCAAUGGGAUAUCAUUGUUACAUCAUAGCCGCAUCGAUAACGUCGACAAAUGUCGGCUACAACUCUACAAGUUUGAUGAUAAAUUUACUAUUGUUAAACAUUAUAAUAUGAUUAUAAAACUCUACGUUCAACUCUGAAUUGUAUAUAUACCUUUAGUCUCAUUUUUUUUUUAUAACACACACGAUGUACAUUAUGUAUAUAUAUAAGCAGUGAGAUUGCACGUGGUGAAAUAUACGCAUUAUACCUAUAUGCUUAUACAGUGAACGUAUAUUAAAUUGAUGUUUACACAA